ACAAUCAUAACCCCACAUAGUUAGGGUUCAUCCAAACCAACAAUCACAACCUCAGAUUCCAAAUAAACAAAAAUCAAAGAGUGAUAGAACCAAAAAUUAUCUUAGCUGGAUCGAGAGAAACUAGGGCUCGAUCUGUGAGCAGAGGAAGGACUUUAGCGGUGUUGCGAUCUCCGACCAAGGGAGACGCGGCGGCGUCAAGCCAGGGCGGCGACCGGCGAUUUCAGACAGAGAAGCUAGGGCUCGACUUCUUCCCUUCAAUUGUGCGCUUCCAGUGAGGGAUUAGAGAGGGAAACCGAGACGAAGAGAAAAAGAGGGAAAGAACGGCGAAAAUCAGUCGCCAGAUUUUACAGAAGCGGCGCCGGAGUUUCAGAGAAUGAUACAUCAGCGGCGGCGGCUCGGACCGCUGCUGUUCGCAGAAGAGAAAGGGAUAAAGGGCCUCAGCGGCGAGGAUGGUGGCGAGGACGGCGGCGCGAACAGCUACGCGGCGGCGAGGACGGUGGAGAAUGGCGGCGAGGAUGGGGGCUGGCGGCGACAGUAGCCGCCUGGUUUGAAGGGAGUAAGGCGGUGGCUAAGAGAAAAGGAAGAGGAGAGAACGGUGAGAGAG
rnacentral:lncRNA from 1 species